UUAGGAUGUUUUAAAUUCUUAAUUUGUUAUAGUUUGUGAAAUUUGUAAUUUUAGAAUUUUAAUUCUUCUUAUUUUUUUUAAUGAUUUUGCCUUCCUCACCUCAAUGAGGAAAGGCUAUAAAAUCACUUGAAAAUGAACUUCUUUAUUUAACCUCGUAGACCCACCUUCCCGUAUACCUAUCGACUCAGAAUCAAAUUCUGAACAAAUGUCUGUGCGUGUGUAUGCUGUAAGUCCGUGCACCGAAAAAUAUGCACACGAUUAUCUCCGGACUGGCAGAACCGAUUUUGACGGUUUUGGUCUAAUUCGAUCCGUCUUGGGGUCCCACAAGACCUUAUAUAAUAUUAUGAAGUUUAGAAAAGUACUUCAAAAGUUAUGCUAAAAUAAACCAUUUUAGCUAAACUUCGAACGAUUGUAAAAAGGGUAGUUUUUGUAAGGAAACUCGUCAUGCUUUUAGAAUUCAUUUUAGGAAGGUAUUUAAAAUACCUUUCCAACGAGCCCAAAACGUUGAAGAUCUGACUACCCUAUCAAAAGUUAUAACCCCAUAAGUGUUAUUUAUACACUUUUUAGAGGCCGGAUCUCACAUAUUUUGAUGAAAACGUUGUCCGGAUCUAGCAUGCGACCUAUCUUAGGAUGGGUAAUCAAGAGAUCUUUCCUAAGAGUCCAAAAUAUUAAAAAUCUGACAAUCCUAUCAAAAGUUAUAAGUACUUUAGUGUUUCUAUUAUUUUUUUUAGGCCGGAUCUCAGCUAUUUUGAUAAAGUAAGUGUUAUUUAUACAUUUUUUUGAGGCUGUGAAGUGUAUUCACUUUAUGAAUGUUAGGAAGGCACCAACCACCUAAAGGUGGAUUAUGCAACGUUUUUAGUUUUAAAUUUCUAUACAUCAGUAAACCUUACUCAUGCUCAAUCAGCUGGUGUAUUUGCUUCAGAUUUAAUUUCGAUUUAAUCACAAUCUAUUUUUUGUACAUAGCAGGAAAAUGUGACAAAAGCCAACUAAUCUAAUCUAAUCUAAUCGAACACAAGCGCAGCCAGUCCGAAGAAAGCAUCCUGGAAGAACUUGUGGUUAGAUUACGCCCCAAGUUCUUUCUUGUCAAUAUUAAUAAUUGCAGUACAUUCGAGUUACCUCGAUAAUGUAAAGCAAAAAUUAAAGCGGCCAGGCCUACUGCGUUGCAUUAACCGCAGAGACAGAUUCUGUAAACGGACCACAUUUCACAGAAUCAACAGGGGAGGAAGGAUGCGUGGACAUACCGUACCAAACGCUCCGAAUAAGUUGGGUGUGGUGUGUUAGUGUAAAUUGGCAAUUAUUUAUAUUUUAGGGGAGAAGUGGAAUUGGAAAAUUGGAGUUGAGGAAAUUGGGAUUGGGGAAAUUGGGAUUGGGGAAAUUGGGAUUGGGGAAAUUGGGAUUGGAGAAUAGGAAAGUGAGAAUGGGGUAGGAGGGUUAUUGAAUUUAUAAUAUUUUAUUAUAAUAAAGGGGAAUAUAGUUAAAUAACAAAUAAUGAUGGAAAGCUCUCACCAAUGAACAGCAAAUCUUCAAAAGACACAGCCAGGUGGGGUCCCGAUCGUCAGACCCCAGAUUCUUGGCUGUUCCGCUUGCCACCGCCAUCACCGUAGUCUGCUCCGUCGUCCUCCUUUUCCACCUCUUAGGGAACUUGCCACGCGGCUGCGUUCCACGUAAAACGGUGCCGGCGCACUAAUCCGUGCCCCACGGCUCCGAUUCUCUCGCGGGAUUUUUACCUUGACGGGGACCGUUCACGCUGUGACCGAGGACCGCCUCGCUAACUGCGCUCGCCACCUUCUCAAUUCGGGCCAGGGCCCGCAUGCUUCCGGUUGUUGUCUAUUUCCCGGUCGAACCAUCGCCACCCUGGUCUUUCGGGAAGUUUCGACGGACACCCUGGAACAAGCACCAGUCCUGAUUGAACCGUCCUCCUCCAGCACCACGAUCCAUCCAUGUCGAAUGUGAGAAAACUGCUUCACUUCCCGACGACUUUAACACAUUUUUUAAGACUAUUCCAAAAUUGGGAAAAAUGACGCGGAGCGGAAAAAAAGUUCAACCUCGCGCACCGGUUGCUGCGAUCAGGAAAAUGUGACAAAAGCCAACGGCAACAAACGCCGGAAGAUUCGACUGCAGCUGAAUGUCGAAAUAAUUCAGGACCAAAACUGGACUGAAUGGAAGCAGUGGUAUAUCGAUUUUGUGAGUAUAUGUUCGAGUAAUUUCACGUUAUAGACAUAAUUGUACCAUGUUCGAUAAGUGAGAAAUGAUAAUUAUUGGAAUUCAGUCAAAAUCUAGUGAUUUUAUAACCACUCCUCAUUAAGGUGAGGAAGGCAAAAACGGUUCUGUUUACAAAAGGUGCUUUCUAUUUAUUGCAUACUAAAACUAGAUUUAUUCGUAUGCAAAAGAAAAUAACGAAGAAGAUGCUUCCGUUUCAUUGAAUUCCGCGGAAAAAAAAUAACCAAAUCUUUCAAAAAUAACAUGCGACAAAUAUGCGUACAAAAGCAAAACAAAACAAAAGUGAAAUAUAAAUAAUGAACAAAUUAAUCUUUCAGAAAUUUUCGACAUGCAGAACUGCCGAAUGCUUCACGCAAGUUAACGCUGAAGACGACGUAAUCAGAGCUGGUGUUUGCAAAUAUUGCAACAAAGUUGUUCAGAUUUUCAUAAAAGAAAAAAACGACAAAUGGAUCCCAAAUCUUGCAGGUAUCAAGACUCACAGGAAACAAUGCAAACCAUGUCAGGAGUAUUCGAAUACGUACUAUAAAUGCACGUCCAUGAGCAUGCCUCGAGUCGAGUCCGUGACGGAUCCUUAUGAAUGGCCUGAAUGGUUUACCAAUUUUGCCACCGACAUUUCACAUCGGCAGGCUCGAUUUUUUUUGCCAGUUCCUGUUGAAAUAACGGACAAAAAGUUUGCUGUAUGCAAGGAAUGUAACCGCGACGUUCUGGUGUACGAGCGCAAAGGUGAAAAGUAGAUGUAUAAGGUCAACAAUUUUUACGAGCACAAGGAAAAAUGCCCCCCUGUCAAAGCGGUCAUUGACGUAAGAUUUAACAAUAAUGUUUGCAAAUAUCUCCAAGAACCGCAAUAAAGCGAGCAAAUGUGUCGUGCUUCUUGAAGACUGCCGAAACAGCGAUUGACUUAUUCUUAAAUACCAACGAGUGGUAACUGUUAUUAUUAUUUAACUAAACAACUAAACUCCCAAGCUCGAGAAAAAAGGGGGAACGAACAAUGUAAUUUCCUGAAGAGAAAUAAGGUUUUAUUUCGGUUUGUUUGUUUUGAUUUAUUUUUAGUGCGAUUUUAUCCUCAGACGCUCUGUUGAAUUUGGUGUUCGAUGUUGUUUUCAAACUAUUUUGUUUUUAUACUGUUAUUGUUAUACUGUUGAAUGCUUUUCAUUGAAAUAUUUUUUUGCUUAUUAAUAAAUAAACUAAUAAAACAUAAUGUUCUGCCGUCGUUUUUGGAUAAACAAGCAAAAACAGCCACGUCAAUGUCACCCCGUUUUAUGGUUUACUAGUUCAAUGCAACGACGGAACAGGCAACGGCUGGACUAGCAACGGCUGGACUGGCAACGGCUGGACUGGCAACGGCUGAACUGGCAACGACGGAACAGGCAACGGCUGGACUGGCAACGGCUGGAUUGGCAACGGCUGGACUGGCAACGGCUGUUGAAACUGACAGGCAACGGCUGGACUAGCAACGGCUGGACUGGCAACGGCUGGAUUGGCAACGGCUGGACUGGCACAGCUGGUCAGGCAACGGCGGGGAAGCCGACACCGACGUCUAAUUGUAGAAUGGUGUGAAGAAUAAAAACGAAGUUUAGUGAUUGUUUCAAAAAUGUCAGAAAUGCCUAAAUCUAAAGUUGAAACUGACAGGCAACGACGGAACAGGCAACGGCUGGACCGGCAACGGCUGAACUGGCAACGACGGAACAGGCAACGGCUGGACUGGCAACGGCUGGAUUGGCAACGGCUGGAUUGGCAACGGCUGGACUGGCAACGGCUGUUGAAACUGACAGGCAACGGCUGGACUAGCAACGGCUGGACUGGCAACGGCUGGACUGGCACAGCUGGUCAGGCAACGGCGGGGAAGCCGACACCGACGUCUAAUUGUAGAAUGGUGUGAAGAAUAAAAACGAAGUUUAGUGAUUGAUUCAAAAAUGUCAGAAAUGCCUAAAUCUAAAGUUGAAACUGACAGGCAA